rnacentral:rRNA from 1 species
AUUGAACGCUGGCGGAAUGCUUACACAUGCAAGUCGAACGGCAGCACGGGGCAACCUGGUGGCGAGUGGCGAACGGGUGAGUAAUACAUCGGAACGUGCCCAAUCGUGGGGGAUAACGUAGCGAAAGUUACGCUAAUACCGCAUACGAUCUACGGAUGAAAGCGGGGGAUCGCAAGACCUCGCGCGAGUGGAGCGGCCGAUGUCAGAUUAGGUAGUUGGUGGGGUAAAGGCUCACCAAGCCAACGAUCUGUAGCUGGUCUGAGAGGACAACCAGCCACACUGGAACUGAGACACGGUCCAGACUCCUACGGGAGGCAGCAGUGGGGAAUUUUGGACAAUGGGCGCAAGCCUGAUCCAGCCAUUCCGCGUGCAGGAUGAAGGCCUUCGGGUUGUAAACUGCUUUUGUACGGAACGAAACGGCGAGCUCUAAUACAGUUUGCUAAUGACGGUACCGUAAGAAUAAGCACCGGCUAACUACGUG